rnacentral:rRNA from 1 species
UUCCGGUUGAUCCCGCCGGAGGCUACUGCUAUUGGGAUUCGACUAAGCCAUGCGAGUCAAGGUGUCUUCGGACGCCGGCAUACGGCUCAGUAACACGUAGGUAACCUACCCUCAGGACUGAGAUAACCCCGGGAAACUGGGGCUAAUAUUAGAUAGAUAAAAGAUACUGGAAUGUUCUUUUAUCCAAAGCUUUUGCGCCUGAGGAUGGGCCUGCGCUCGAUUAGGUUGUUGGUGGGGUAAUGGCCCACCAAGCCUACGAUCGGUACGGGCAGUGGGAGCUGAAGCCCGGAGUUGGGGACUGAGACAAGGCCCCAGGCCCUACGGGGCGCAGCAGGCGCGAAACCUCUGCAAUGCGGGAAACCGUGACAGGGGGAUUCCAAGUGCUCAUGCAUUGCAUGGGCUGUUCUUUGGUCUAAGUAACCAGAGGAGUAAGGGCUGGGCAAGACCGGUGCCAGCCGCCGCGGUAAUACCGGCAGCUCAAGUGGUAGCCGCGAUUAUUGGGCCUAAAACGUUCGUAGCCGGAUAAGUAAGUCUUUGGUUAAAUCCUGCGACUUAACCGUGGGAAAUCUAGAGAUACUGCUUGUCUUGAGACCGGGAGAGGUUGGAGGUACUCCCAGGGUAGGGGUGAAAUCCUGUAAUCCUGGGGGGACCACCUGUGGCGAAGGCGUCCAACUGGAACGGGUCUGACGGUGAGGGACGAAACCUAGGGGAGCGAGCCGGAUUAGAUACCCGGGUAGUCCUAGGCGUAAAUGAUGCGAGUUAAGUGUGGGGGCAUCCACGAGAUGGCCCUGUGCUGUAG